UACGAAGGUCCCAAGCGUUAUCCGGAUUUAUUGGGUUUAAAGGGUGCGUAGGCGGGCUAUUAAGUCAGUGGUGAAAGCCCCAAGCUUAACUUGGGAACUGCCAUUGAUACUUAUGGUCUUGAGUACAUUUGAGGUGGGCGGAAUGUGUCAUGUAGCGGUGAAAUGCUUAGAUAUGACACAGAACACCGAUUGCGAAGGCAGCUCACUAAACUGUAACUGACGCUGAGGCACGAAAGCGUGGGGAGCAAACAGG
rnacentral:rRNA from 1 species